rnacentral:rRNA from 1 species
CCUACGGGAGGCAGCAGUGGGGAAUAUUGCGCAAUGGGCGAAAGCCUGACGCAGCGACGCCGCGUGAGGGAUGAAGGUCUUCGGAUCGUAAAACUCUGUCAGCAGGGAAGAACGGUCACUGUGCUAAUCAGCAGUGAAUUGACGGUACCUGCAAAGGAAGCACCGGCUGACUCCGUGCCCGCAGCCGCGGUAAUACGGGGGGUGCGAGCGUUAAUCGGAAUUACUUGGCGUAAAGCGGUCGUAGGCGGUAUGUCAAGUCAAGGGGGAAAUCCCCGGGCUCAACCUGGGAACUGCCGUUGAAACUGGCUGUCUGGAGUGGGCGAGAGGAAUGUGGAAUGCGAGGUGUAGCGGUGAAAUGCGUAGAUAUCGGGAAGAACACCGGUGGCGAAGGCGACAUUCUGGCGCAUAUCUGACGCUGAGGAGCGAAAGCGUGGGUAUCGAACAGGAUUAGAUACCCUAGUAGUC